rnacentral:rRNA from 1 species
AAUGAACGCUGGCGGCGUGCCUAACACAUGCAAGUCGGAUGUGCCCGCAAGGGUGCAUGGCAGACGGGUGAGUAACGCGUGGGGAACCUACCUUUUGUGGGGGAUAACGCUCCGAAAGGAGCGGUAAUACCGCAUGAGACCAUGAGCUGGAAUGCUGAUGGUGAAAGCCGGGGAUCGAAAGACCUGGCGCAAGGAGAGGGUCCUGCGUCUGAUUAGCUAGUUGGCGGGGUAACGGCCCACCAAGGCGACGAUCAGUAGCCGGCCUGAGAGGGUGAUCGGCCACACUGGAACUGAGACACGGUCCAGACUCCUACGGGAGGCAGCAGUGGGGAAUUUUGCGCAAUGGGCGAAAGCCUGACGCAGCAACGCCGCGUGGGUGAUGAAGGUCUUCGGAUUGUAAAACCCUGUCGUCAGGGACGAAGGUUGUGAUCUUAAUACGGUUACAACUUGACGGUACCUGGAGAGGAAGCCCCGGCUAACUCUGUGCCAGCAGCCGCGGUAAU